rnacentral:RNase_P_RNA from 1 species
GAGAGAGGAAGAGCAGCCGCCGCGACAUUCGUGUCGUGAGGAAAGUCCCUCCACCACCGGACACAUGGACGCCGAAAUGGCGUAGGGCGAGAGUUCUGGCUCUGACACAGAAACGAUACCGCGAUAUGGCAAUGCUGUGAUGCCGGAAGGCUGAGGUCACAUAUUGUGGAUGAAACGGUGAAACCCCAUGGGUGCAAGCCUGCAUGGGAACAGCGAGAAAUUGCUGGCAGCGUCCGGCUGUAUUUCCCUGGUAAUGGCGCUUUAGUCGAAUGCUGCUAAGAACAGAAGGGGGCUUACUCUCCUCACUC